rnacentral:piRNA from 1 species
UGUUCUAGAACCUACCUCAAGUCCCUCCAA